GACGAACGCUGGCGGCGUGCUUAACACAUGCAAGUCGAGCGGUAAGGCCCUUUCGGGGGUACACGAGCGGCGAACGGGUGAGUAACACGUGGGUGACCUGCCCUCAGCUCUGGGAUAAGCCUGGGAAACUGGGUCUAAUACCGGAUAUGACUUCGCAUCGCAUGGUGUGGGGUGGAAAGUUUUUCGGCUGGGGAUGGGCCCGCGGCCUAUCAGCUUGUUGGUGGGGUGAUGGCCUACCAAGGCGACGACGGGUAGCCGGCCUGAGAGGGCGACCGGCCACACUGGGACUGAGACACGGCCCAGACUCCUACGGGAGGCAGCAGUGGGGAAUAUUGCGCAAUGGGCGGAAGCCUGACGCAGCGACGCCGCGUGGGGAUGACGGCCUCGGUUGUAA
rnacentral:rRNA from 1 species